rnacentral:misc_RNA from 1 species
CAAUCACAGUAUUGCCUGGAAUUGUCGAAGCUGAUGUAUCUGCUAAAUCAGGCCGGGAAAAGGCAAUAGACUGCCCAGCAUUUAGCUGAGCCUUUCCUCCUGGAAUGACCUUUCUCUCCUCUCCUACAUUCGAGCCAUCAUUUCCACCAGUUUUCCCUUCUUCAGAAACGUGGUAAUUCUUCUUCUGAUGUGCUGCUUGGGCAACUGCAGUAGCUGCAAUGAAGUGAAACCCAUGCCUUGCCGCCUCUGGGACACUUUGCAAAAAAAGCAUGAUUUUGUGCAAUUGAUGA